UACGGGGGGGGCAAGCGUUGUUCGGAAUUACUGGGCGUAAAGGGCUCGUAGGCGGCCAACUAAGUCAGACGUGAAAUCCCUCGGCUUAACCGGGGAACUGCGUCUGAUACUGGUUGGCUUGAGUGUGGGAGAGGGAUGCGGAAUUCCAGGUGUAGCGGUGAAAUGCGUAGAUAUCUGGAGGAACACCGGUGGCGAAGGCGGCAUCCUGGACCAUUACUGACGCUGAGGAGCGAAAGCCAGGGAGCAAAGCGGG
rnacentral:rRNA from 1 species